rnacentral:rRNA from 1 species
AGUGAACGCUGGCGGUAGGCCUAACACAUGCAAGUCGAACGGCAGCACAGUAAGAGCUUGCUCUUACGGGUGGCGAGUGGCGGACGGGUGAGGAAUAUAUCGGAAUCUACUCUUUCGUGGGGGAUAACGUAGGGAAACCUACGCUAAUACCGCAUACGACCUACGGGUGAAAGCAGGGGAUCUUCGGACCUUGCGCGAAUGAAUGAGCCGAUGUCGGAUUAGCUAGUUGGCGGGGUAAAGGCCCACCAAGGCGACGAUCCGUAGCUGGUCUGAGAGGAUGGUCAGCCACACUGGAACUGGGACACGGUCCAGACUCCUACGGGAGGCAGCAGUGGGGAAUAGUGGACAAUGGGCGGAAGCCUGAUCCAGCGAUACCGCGUGGGUGAAGGAGGCCUUCGGGUUGUAAAGCCCUUUUGUUGGGAAAGAAAAGCAGCAGGUUAAUACCCCGCUGUUCUGACGGUACCCAAAGAAUAAGCACCGGCUAACUUCGUG